rnacentral:lncRNA from 1 species
CUUGCAAUCUGAAUGUUUCUUUUAUCACAGCUUUAAGAUAAGUUAAGGCUUGAGUAUCAUCUUCAUUUACAAAAUCUUUUUUCCCCAUCAAACUUCUCACUUCCUCUUGAGCUUUCUUCAAACACCUAGGAUUUUUCAUUAGGAAGGUCAUGACCCAAAUCACACUGGCAGCGCUAGUGUCCGUUCCAGCAACAAACACAUUCUACAUAAGAGAAAGAAAAAAAGACAUGAGGUAAUAUAUAUAUAUUCCAAGAAUGUUGAAGCUAUAAAAUUAAUUAAUGAUAAUACUUAAUACUAUAAUAAAGUAAAUUUUUGAGUGAGGAUUGACCAUUAGCACAGCUUUUAUGUGAUCUAUAGUAAGAUCAAUCGCAAAUUCACGAUCCUUCCAAAUUUGUAGUAAGACAUCGAUUAUGUCUUCUUGCUCCAAUUUUGACCUAUUUGGAUCAAGAUGUUCGUCGAUGAGUUUUUGAUAGAAGGUAUCAAAUUCUUUAAAAUUUUUUUCAACACGCUUGAGCAAUCCGGAGAUUCUAUCAACCCAAUUCAUGAAAGGAAAAUAAUCAGAAAUAAAGAAUUCCACGAACAGGGCUUGGGCUUCAUUAAGCAUCUCAUGGAAUCUGCUUCUUUCAGUUCCUUCGUCUUCAUACCUCUUGCCGAAUCCUACUCUGCAAAUUAUUGUACUGGUAAGACACAUCAUUGCCUCACUCAAAUUGACAGGCUUAGAAUCAACAGAUAAUUUGGAUAUUUUUGCAAUUAGGCGAGAAACUUCAUCUUCUCGAAUGGGACGAUAGAGUUGCACCCUGUUGGAGUUAAAGAGAUGAACAACACAUAUUUUUCUGAUCUCCCUCCAAUAAGCAGUAUACGGUGAAAAAGCCAAAUCUAAACCUUUGUAAGAUAAUUUAUAUGACCCAUGUAAAGUAGGCCUACUGCAAAAGUCAAGGUCAUGUGUUUUCAUAACCUCUUUAGCCAUUUUCGCUGAAGAAACUACCAGCGUUAACCAAAAUCCGAGUCGCAAGGACAUGAGAGAGCCAUACUUUUGAGAGAGUUUCCAAAGAAAAAUAUGAGGGGCUGAGUUAUCUAGCAUCUGCAUGUGUAAGUGACCGAUCAAGGGAAGGCCUGGAGGGCCAGGGGGAAGAAGAAUACUGCCGUUUCUUCUAUGUUUUAGCAGAAUGCAUAGGAAGAGACUGGGGAGGGCUAGAACAAAGAACAACAAAACUACCAUUUUGAUAUAAUCGAUUGAUGAAGCGACUUGUGACAAUUGAGAGCAAGAGUCCCCUUAUAUACACUAAUUAGCAGACACUUCUAACUAAAAAAUUUAAUGCAAGCUGACACUUGCAUUGUUGAAUAUUGCUCCUCUUUUUUGUACCAAGAUAAAUAUAGGAAGGAAUAAAUAUUUGAAAUUGCUUCUUUAUGUCAGGAACAAUAGGCAUUUGAAGGGGAAAUUAAUAAGGAAACGUAAUGUAAUGAAGGUCCGUCAUUCUACAUUAUAGUCAGCUUGGUAACACUACUGUUUUUUUCCCUGAUCGUGAUAUAUAGUAAAAAAAAAUUUAUGAAUUAUUGUUGUUACUGCUCCAUUUGUUCUAUUUUUUAUUGAAAUGUCACGGUGAGCUGCUGUCGUUUCCAGAAAAGGCCAAACGCAAGUUAAUUUUCUCGAUUUUGUUUAGGAUUUUGAGUUCUUAGGAAGAUUUGUUUUUGAAAAGUGAUUUAUUAACCUCUUCAAUCAAAGUGCCGGCCGUUCCAAGUCUCUUUCAAUUAAAAAACGAUUUUCAAUAACAUCAAUACUUGAUUUGGAUAGUAAGUAAUAUUGUACAAUUACCAAAAGAUUUACCGCACCAUCCUACAUGCGGACGGGGUCUUAAACCCUUCAAACCUAUCAAAAGAUUUCUCUUCAGGAAUAUGCUGUUGCUUUGUUCACGGAUUAUUUGCUGUUUGUUUUGUUUUGGAAUGAACGUUGAGAUUGGUGGUUCCAGGUUGUAUGGUCAACAAAGAAAAUGUACAAAUUUCCUCACGCUUGCCAAUAAUUGGCUUAUGCUUGAUUCUCGCGUCUCUGGUAAAUAUAAUGUUAUACAGAAAUUCAUAAAGCUGGAACCAAGUGUCAAAGAAGCAGAAUGUUUAGCUUCUCCUUAACGUCACCCUCUCCAUCAGAAUCCUUCAGUCCUUCACGGCAUCAUUUGAUCUUUAGACUGGUUAGUGGUCCAUUGCAGUAGGAACCAUACGUCUUCAUUGUUGAAUUUUCGCGAUAUGGGUUCAAUAAUGAAAGGUGAAAUCUCGCAGGCCAAUCCAAGAUUUUGAUUCCUCUAUGCCUAUCCAUCUGCAUUAUUGAGAAACGAUAAAGGCCUAAAUCCAAUAAUUACCGGUUCACAUGUAGUAUGAGUUAAUUAGAUGGAGAAUUUUGAUUCGAACAUAAAUUAAAUAUUUUGAAGUAAUUUGUCUUUGAUUAAGACUAUAAUAUAUAGAGUACUCUAUUGGGCCCAAAAUGAAUCAUUAGUUACUUUCAAUAAAAAAUUAAACAGAAUCGACCUAAUUACACAAAUAUUAAAGAAGUACAAAGAAAAUGUCGCAUCUAGUAUCGUAAUUAGUGAAUUCUAUGAUUCACGUGGUUCAAGCUCUUGCUGUACGACGUACUAGUUGGAAACUAGAAAAGAAGAAGACAAGUGUUGAUGCUUUCCUGCCUAUGGAUUUGCUGCAGUGAUGUUUAAUUAUAUAUUAACAUCUAUUGUACAUGAAUCCAGCUAAUUGAAAAUGAUGUUUGUCUAUUGCUAUUCACAUGAUGUUAUAUCUAAGAUGAAUCACGACGACAAGUUUUUUCUUUCUUUAGCUUUAUUGCUAGAUGUCAUCUUUUCUGUGUUGAUUUUCAUGGUUUUUCUUUAGCAUACCAGGUAUCACAUCAAAGUCUUCUUUAUUCAUCCCGGCCGGCAUUUCCCAAUCAAAUUUGUAAAGAAGAUUGGCAAGGGCAAGCUCCAAAGUUGAUACUCCCAUAUGCAAGUGACCGAUCAAGGGAAGACCUGGCGGGCCUGGGGGAAGAAGAAUAUUGCCAUUAUUUCUUUGUUUUAAGAGAAUGAAUAGGAAGAGGGUGGGGAGGGCUAGAACGAAGAACAGCAACACUACCAUUGUGAUCUAGUGAAACAACUUGUGAAAAUUGAGGGCAAGAGUCCCCUAAUAAAGAACUAAUUAGCCAACUCUUUUGACCAAAAUUUUUUUAAUAAAAAUUAAUGAUCAGAUUCAUAUGGCUGAUAUUAAUGAUCAGAUUCAUAUGGUUGAUAUUAAUGAUCAGAUCCAUAUGGUUGAUAUUAUCUCGCCAAUCAGGGGGAGGGUUGUUCAUUAAUGGGCUCGAGCCCCACAAAUUAAGUCCAAUGCUGUCACAAAACGCUUCACCGAGAAGGAUUCCUUACGUCUCCUCGCCAUGGAAAUUGGAAGCUUUGCUAGGUAGCUAGCAGCCUAUCAGUGAUGCAUUUCUUAUUUACAUUGAAAAAAAAAACGGUUCAAAAAAUAAUUUUAUCUAAAAUUUUUUCUUCAUAUGAGAAAAAAAAAAGAGAUUUGUCAAAAAAACUUGGUUUUCUCUUGACCAUUUUGUUCUUGAAAGUAUUUAGUUUCUCAUUGGUACAAAUUUCUCUUAAUUUGUGAAUUUAAGCUGAUGUGAGUGUCAUAUAUCUUUGCUCUUUCUACUCUGAUUCAAGUGCAUCAUAGGUUUCAUACACCUUACGAUAAUAAGAAAUGUUAACGUUUAAACGGACAACAUUUGUUAUUGUAUUCGAGUAAACAUAGAAAAUUAUUUACUUUUGAUAUUUAAUUUAUGAUAUAAUGGUCAAAUAAGUCUCUAAAUUAUUUAAAAAAAUUUAAAUAAGUUUUUAUUUUUUAUUGUGUUCAAUACUUUUAUUUCAAGUCAAAUAAAUCCAUAUAACUAAUGAAUGAUUAAUUAUCAUUAGUCAAAAUGUCGUCUGUCAUUUUAUAUCCACAUGACGUUGAUGUGGAGGAUGAAAAAUACCACAUGAUCAUGUUAUCAUGGUAAAUUAACACGUCACGUCAUUAUCAAUUAUGAUAUAUCAUCAUAUCAUAUUAUUAUCAAUUAUGAUAUAUUAGCAUGCUAUAUUAGUGUCAAGUGAUAUAAAAUGAUAAAUAGUAUUUUAAUUAAGUUAAUUAUUAGUCAUAAAGUCUUAUUUAAUUUAAAAUAAAAAUACAAUGACUUAUUUAAAAUUUUCAAAAUAAUUUAAAUAUUUUUUUUGAAUAUUAUUCCUUAAUUUAUUUUAAUUUAAGCGUUUUGUUACUUUGAUUUUUGGCAACUUUAUUUAUCAGUAAAUACUAUUUCAACAAAAAAGUUAUAGAGACAAAUUUAAUUGAUUUAAAUGAGUUUCAAGUCAAUAAGUGAUGUCUCCUUGUAUUAAUUUAAGAAUUCGGAAACUUAAAAAACAUUGAAUUGAUCACUCAACUAGAAUAUCAUGGAUUACUCAAAAGAAAGUUAAAUUACAUUACAUUAAUUAAUGAUCAUUAGGUUAUCGUUUUUGAAACAAAAACAACUUAAAAAUUAACAUUAACAAACAUGGAUUUAUUAUAAAACAUACACAACAUAAAAUGUUGUUGACACUCCAAACUAGAGCAAGCUAGCAGCAAUUAAGUUACUAGGAUAACCUUACAUGCAUUAAACAUUAAUUUCUUUGGCCACAAGGCAAAGAGCAUUUUUUGUGUGUGUAGUGAUACCGGGUAUCACAUCAAAGUCUAAGUCUUCCUUGUUCAUCCCUGUUGGCAUUUCCCAAUCAAAUUUGUAAAGAAGAUUAGCAAGGGCAAGCUCCACAGUCACAACUCCCAUAUGUAUUCCGGGACAACCCCUUCUACCGGCACCAAAAGGUAUGAGCUCGAAGUCUAGUCCUUUAUAGUCAAUAGAGCUGCCAAUGAAUCUCUCCGGAUAGAAUUCUUCUGGGUUUUCCCAAGCUUCAGGGUCUCUUCCAAUUGCCCACGCAUUCACAUAAACUAAGGUUUUGGCAGGUAUUUCAUAUCCGCUUAUGUUGCUCUUUCGCAUUGUUUCUCGUGGCACCAACAAUGGAACUAUUGCUUGCAAUCUGAAUGUUUCUUUUAUCACAGCUUUAAGAUAAGUUAAGGCUUGAGUAUCAUCUUCAUUUACAAAAUCUUUUUUCCCCAUCAAACUUCUCACUUCCUCUUGAGCUUUCUUCAAACACCUAGGAUUUUUCAUUAGGAAGGUCAUGACCCAAAUCACACUGGCAGCGCUAGUGUCCGUUCCAGCAACAAACACAUUCUACAUAAGAGAAAGAAAAAAAGACAUGAGGUAAUAUAUAUAUAUUCCAAGAAUGUUGAAGCUAUAAAAUUAAUUAAUGAUAAUACUUAAUACU